AGUGGGUCAAUUUCCGAAGGAUGCUAGAGAAUACUUGGUUCGAUACUACAUGAUGGAUAAGAUGAAGGAUGUAGUGCCGCUGAAGGUCUGAUGUCGUAAGUUUUGCCAUAUGAAUUCAAUGAAGAUUACACAGGAUGGUCUGGUGGACUUAGUGGAUACAUUGCUUGUUUGGAUAAUACCGUCAAAACAUGUCUUUGAGAGAGCCCAUCUCGCAAAUACUGCUUCAAACAGAAGUAAAUAUAUGAUAAAACGAUUAUAGCCACUCUACGCUCUCCAUUAAAGAAAUGACCACUUUCGUAUGUGCUACUAGAUGGUUUACACCCUGCUUUCAGAGAUAUACGAAGGGGACAAAUGGUAGAAUUUUGUGAUCCUAUCAAACACACUGAAUUGGCGUUUCUUGCUCAACAGGGAACUAUGCUGGUUUAAUCCUUAGAGAUAUUGACAAAGAUAGUGGUAAUCCACAAAUGUGUGCUUCCUACCCUGCAGAGAUAGACACAAACUUAAUGGCCUCAGAGGUAUGUUGUUAUUCUU